UACGGAGGAUGCGAGCGUUAUCCGGAUUUAUUGGGUUUAAAGGGUGCGUAGGCGGGAUGCCAAGUCAGCGGUCAAAUACGGGGGCUCAACCUGCGUCCGCCGUUGAAACUGGCGUUCUUGAGUGGGCGAGAAGUACGCGGAAUGCGUGGUGUAGCGGUGAGAUGCAUAGAUAUCACGCAGAACCCCGAUUGCGAAGGCAGCGUACCGGCGCCCGACUGACGCUGAAGCACGAAAGCGUGGGUAUCGAACAGG
rnacentral:rRNA from 1 species